rnacentral:piRNA from 1 species
UGAUUGCACAGGUACCACAGCAAGCC